rnacentral:lncRNA from 1 species
AGGUCUAAUUUUGGGUAAUUUGGGUCCAUUUAUGAAGGUUCUAGGACCAUCAAGGUAGCUUCUGAAGCCCGGGCAGCUAUUUGGGGUUACAGGGUGAGGUUUUGGGGUCUCCUACAAGAUAGUUAUGGGGUCAGGGGGGUCCCUUGGUGGUCCUGAGGUAGAUUUUGGGUCACUUUAGCACCAAUUUGGGUCACUUUAGCUCCAAUUUGGGUCCAGUUAUGAAGGUUCUAGGUCCUUCAAGGUAGGUUCUGAAGCCCGGGGAGCUAUUUGGGGUUAUGGGGUGGGGUUUUGGGGUCCUUUGGGAUGUAGUUAUGGGAUUGGGGGGUCACCUGGUGGUUUUGGGGUGAAUUUUGGGUCACUUUAGUUCUAAUUUGGGGCAAUUUGGGUCCAGUUAUGAAGGUUCUAGGUCCGUCAAGGUGGGUUUUGAAGCCCGGGGAGCUAUUUGGGGUUACGGGGUGGGGUUUUGGGGUCCCUUGUGACGUAAUUAUGGGAUCGGGGGGGUCCCUUGGUGAUCCUGGGGUGGAUUUUGGGUCACUUUAGCACCAAUUUGGGUCACUUUAGUUCCAAUUUGGGUCCAGUUAUGAAGGUUCUAGGUCCUUCAAGGUGCGUUUCGAAGCCUGGGGAGAUAUUUGGGGUUACGGGAUCGGGAUUUGGGGUCCCUUGAGACGUAAUUAUGGGAUUGGGGGGGGUCAUCUGGUGUUCCUAGGGUGGAUUUUGGGUCACUUUAGCUCUAAUUUGGGGCAAUUUGGGUCCAGUUAUGAAGGUUCUAGGUCCUUCAAGGUAGCUUCUGAAGCCCGGGGAGCUAUUUGGGGUUACGGGGUCAGGUUUUGGGGUCC